UACGUAGGGUCCGAGCGUUGUCCGGAAUUACUGGGCGUAAAGAGCUCGUAGGUGGUUUGUCGCGUUGUCCGUGAAAACUCACAGCUUAACUGUGGGCGUGCGGGCGAUACGGGCAGACUGGAGUACUGCAGGGGAGACUGGAAUUCCUGGUGUAGCGGUGGAAUGCGCAGAUAUCAGGAGGAACACCGGUGGCGAAGGCGGGUCUCUGGGCAGUAACUGACGCUGAGGAGCGAAAGCAUGGGUAGCGAACAGG
rnacentral:rRNA from 1 species